GGGGUUGUACCUCAAUGGUAGAGUUCUUGCCUCAUAUAUAUGAGGUCCUGGGUUCAAUCCCCACCCCCCCCA
rfam:Fukomys damarensis contig148475, whole genome shotgun sequence.